AAAAAUAGAGUUUAAUGUUCAUGUGCUGUAUAACAAAUUAAAUAUAUUAGUGUUUACAAAACAAUAUGUGCAGGACUACCGUAUGCAUAUCCUAAUGUACUCUCUACUCAAAAGUGACGAGAACAAGUUCUACUGACAACAUAGUUUCAUCCCACAGUCCAAGAUGCAUAAGUCUAUUAUACAAAGCAAGUACAAAGAUUAGAGAAAGACUGAUCAUUUCUGUGAGUGGUUAAAGACAGUAACAAGCAAGGAACAAAGGUAGGCGUCUAGAUAUGUCUUGCUAUAUAGGUCAUUGGUAACGAUGUAAUCAGUAAGGUCCAAUCAGAUUUUUUCUUCAUCAAACAGUUUUUUUCCAAAGCAAAUUUUGUUGCAGUGCUUUUAGAGAGCUUGAUAUUGCCAAGGCUUUAAAUCUUAGCUGUUCAUACAACUUCCCAAAUCUCAUUUCAUAUUCCACCUAAAACGAACAUCCAAAAUAAAAUACUACCAGAGA